UCUGAUCUGUUAAGUUUACUGUGAUCUUGAAGAACAUGGCUGAGGAGCACCACAACAAGGCCCAUGAGUCUGAGACCCCAGUUGUUGUUGAGGGGUCAGCUGUGGAAUCCAAGGAUCGUGGGCUGUUUGAUUUCAUGGGGAAGAAAGAGGAAGAGAAGCCUCAAGGGGAGGUGAUCGUCACUGAGUUUGAAGAGAAGGUUCAGGUGUCUGAACCAGAGGAGAAGAAGCCUGGUCUGUUGGAGAAGCUUCAUCGAUCGGAUAGCAGCUCUAGUUCUGUAAGUGUAAAUUUCAAUACCAGUAUGAUCAACUACUUAUCUUAUAAAUUUUGUACUCACUGCAUUUGAAAUCUUGCAGUCUAGUGAUGAGGAAGAAGGCGAGGGAGAGCAGAAGAAGAAGAAGAAGGAAAAGAAGGGAUUGAAGGAGAAGAUCAAGGAGAAGAUAUCUGGAGAUCACAAAGAAGAAAAGAAAGAAGAGGACACCACAGUCCCUAUUGAGAAAUACGAAGAAGCAGAAGCAGCAAAUCAAGCCGAUGAAAAGAAAGGUUUUCUAGAGAAAAUCAAAGAGAAACUGCCAGGACACAACAAGAAGCCUGAAGAGGUAGCUACGCCGCCUCCACCGCCACCACCAACUGAGCAUGUUCAUGCAGAGUCAGCCUCUCAU
rnacentral:lncRNA from 1 species